GCUGGUUUGUGAUAUUUUAUUGAUAUUUGUGAAGAAAGGGUACAAAAUCUCCCACUCUGCAAAAAAAUCAUCUGAUCUGUAUCUACAUUGUCUUAUAGUUUACAGGAAAUUUUCACCCCAACCCCUUCAUUUUUUUAGUAACAAAAAACAGACUGAACUGUUUGUUUGUGUUGAAAAGUUUGUUUUGUCAAUUUUGGUCAUACAUUUCAAAGAAUAAUCCUCCUUGCAAAAUUGCUCAUUGGCUAAUAACUCAUGAUUGACAAGUUGUUAGCCAAAGAGCAAGCAGUUCCACAGUCUGACCUCAGCCUCUUUGUCACAUUCAUUUUUGUUGUUUUUAAACCAGGAUUGCAUCUGUGAAACUGCUAAUCACAGAGCACGGCACUUCAGAAACCAAUGGAUGGCAUCACGUGUUGUGUGGAGUGCAAUAAAAGUAGGCUAUCUUUAGAUUCUGCCAAAACACAGCUGAUGGGUUGUUGUUUUUAAAGCCUCACAGACAUUGGUUCCUGGCCUUUGGAAGUUAUAUGGACUAACUCCCUGGGUCUGCUCUCCACUGAACCAAUAAAAGGUCAGGUUCAUGGUCACAAAGGGCCUGGCAGAACCACACUGGAGCCAAACAUUUAAGCCAAUCCAUGUUGAAAUUUAGUGCCAAAACCGC
ensembl:lncRNA